rnacentral:rRNA from 1 species
GACGGAGGAUGCAAGUGUUAUCCGGAAUCACUGGGCGUAAAGCGUCUGUAGGUGGUUUAAAAAGUCCACUGUUAAAAACUGAAGCUUAACUUCAAAGAUGCCGUGGAAACUUUUAAACUUGAGUAUGGUAGGGGUAGAGGGAAUUUCCAGUGGAGCGGUGAAAUGCGUAGAUAUUGGAAAGACCACCAAUGGCGAAGGCACUCUACUGGGCCAUUACUGGCACUGAGAGACGAAAGCUAGGGGAGCAAAUGGG